rnacentral:lncRNA from 1 species
GGGGACUUCAAGGGAGCUGACACCCAGCCCGCCCAGAACUACUUGGAGUUUCCUACGUGGCGGCGACACUUCCCGAAUGCUGACGCUCUGCCCCUCUUCGAAGGCCUGCUUUUAUUUUUCCUGUCCAGGUCAUCUCUGCAAGUCAUUAAAGUUAAAGGUUCCGACUGUGCUAUUCUAGAAAAGACAAGAACAACAGACUCCUUAAGGCUAGCCCAGGCAUGUUCUCAUGGCACGGUGGAGAGACACUACAGAGGAAGUGGAAUCAUGCAGGCUAUUCAACCUUCUAAGUGUGAGAUGUUGCUAACUACCAUCCCGUUGGCCAAAGUGGUGGGCAGAAAUGAACCUGGCGCGGUAACAGUAUUUUCCAAACUGCCUUUCAGCAAGCUGGACAAAUUUACACUACCACCAACAGUAGGAGAGUGCCUGAUUUUCCAGACUCUUAUCAGAAUUUUUUAUCUUUG